UACGUAGGGUCCAAGCGUUAUCCGGAAUCACUGGGCGUAAAGCGUGCGUAGGUGGCGUGUUAAGUGUGAUGUUAAAUCGUGUGGCUCAACCAUAUCGAUUUGUCGCAUACUGGCAUGCUAGAGGGAAGCAGAGGCAAGUGGAAUUUGUAGUGUAGCAGUGAAAUGCGUAGAUAUUACAAGGAACACCAAUGGCGAAGGCAGCUUGCUGGGCUUCUUCUGACACUGAGGUACGAAAGCGUGGGGAGCGAACAGG
rnacentral:rRNA from 1 species